rnacentral:rRNA from 1 species
CACGCCCUAAACGAUGUCGACUAGUUGUUGGGGAAGGUAACUUCCUUAGUAACGUAGCUAACGCGCGAAGUCGACCGCCUGGGGAGUACGGCCGCAAGGUUAAAACUCAAAGGAAUUGACGGGGACCCGCACAAGCGGUGGAUGAUGUGGAUUAAUUCGAUGCAACGCGAAAAACCUUACCUACCCUUGACAUGCUAGGAACCCUGCUGAGAGGUGGGGGUGCCCGAAAGGGAGCCUAGACACAGGUGC